UCACUUUCAACAACGGAUCUCUUGGCUCUCGCAUCGAUGAAGAACGUAGCGAAGUGCGAUAAGUAAUGUGAACUGCAGUAUUCCGUGAAUCAUCGAACCUUUGAACGCAUAUUGCACUUUCUGGUAUUCCGGAAAGUAUGCCUGUUUGAGGGUCAGCU
rnacentral:rRNA from 1 species